GGGAAUUUUGCGCAAUGGGGGAAACCCUGACGCAGCAACGCCGCGUGGGUGAUGAAGGCCUUCGGGUCGUAAAGCUCUGUCUGGAGGGAAGAAAUGAUUGGGAGCUAAUACCUCUUGAUCUUGACGGUACCUCUGAAGGAAGCACCGGCUAACUCCGUGCCAGCAGCCGCGGUAAUACGGAGGGUGCAAGCGUUGUUCGGAAUUAUUGGGCGUAAAGCGCGUGUAGGCGGUCUUUUAAGUCUGAUGUGAAAGCCCCGGGCUCAACCUGGGAGGUGCAUUGGAAACUGGGAGGCUUGAGUACGGGAGAGGAGAGUGGAAUUCCUAGUGUAGGAGUGAAAUCCGUAGAUAUUAGGAGGAACACCGGUGGCGAAGGCGGCUCUCUGGACCGAUACUGACGCUGAGACGCGAAAGCGUGGGUAGCAAACA
rnacentral:rRNA from 1 species